rnacentral:lncRNA from 1 species
UGGCCACAUAAAUGUUUUCUUUUGAGAAGUGUCUGUUCAAGAUAUGGAUUCUUAAGAGCAAUGUCUGGUUUUGACUUUUCGACUGUAGUUUUUUAUCCCCCUUUCUCAGGAAGCUUUGAGUCUUAGAAUGUUGCCUAUAAAGAGAAUUUGGGAUCAUUAAAAUUGAUUUACUGAAUGGUUUUCAUGAUCAUAACCAGAUAUAUGGUGCCCAAGGACAGAAGAAGAAAUUAGCCCUUGUUCAUACCAAAGCCACUUACACGCAUAAAUCUAAAGGAAAAAACGAUCAUUUUGGAUAAAAAAUGAUGCACAAAAAGUUAUAGAAUAUAAAUGCAAAGUAGCCCGGGUUUAUGUUAUGCUUGGGGAAAGAAAAGGAAAACCCAAGUUUAAGAUUGUAAAUGGAUGGAGCAUGUGGCUUGGAAAAUGUCCUCUCUUCUCCUGUUACUGACACCUACUGUGUGCCUGGUACCGAACCAAGCACUUACACACAGAAUCAACUUUUACCCAUACAAAUCCCUGCUUGAUGGGAAUUACCAUUUCCAUUUUACAGCUGAGGACACUGAAAUUCAGCAUAUUUAUGCCAGUGGCCCCAAGUUCCUACAGUUAGGAAGUGGCAGAGGCAGGAUUUGAACCCUUGUCUCCCUGGUGUCAAAGCUACAGUUCUGGGUCCCAGUUGUAAUCUCUCAAAACAUGGGGCAAAAAGCCCAAAGCCUGGACUUCACACUUAGUCCCAGCAGUCAGCCCAAGGCUCUUAAAAUUCCUUCUUGCCAAGAUCAGCACUGGCUCCAAAGUCCAGGGAGGGCUGGGCUUUUUUGUUGGGGGUCAAAGGAUCAAUGGGAAGACUCCACCUUGGCGGGAUGUGCAGGUGAAGUGCUCCAGCUCUGAGGACGAAUCCUGGAAGAGAAAACCUGAUCCCAGGGCAUGAAGAAGGAGGAAAAGGAUGCAGGAAAGAAUUUAAGAGGCAAAGUGGAUGUGAUAAAGGAACGAGAAGAUCAUGAGAAAAGAUGAAAAAGAGAACAGUGACUGACCCAUGUCAUGAAGCAUCAGUUUCUAAACUUUGCUGUAUGCAGGCUCAAUGGUUGGAAUAAAUGCAGAUGCUGCAAAUUGAUGGAGGCCUGGUGUCUUCCAGAGUGGAGGUAAAGGCUGGCUGAGGAAUCAGUGAGGCCAGGAAGAGGGCUCAGCUGAGCAACUGAUCAAAGCAUCCCUCUUCAGGAAGGAGCUUCCUGUGUUUUCUCUGGGAACUCACCUGUUUUCCACUCCAGACUCUCCAAGAUAUGCAGAGCUUUGGGCCAGGAUCCUACAGCCACGGGUCAUGCAGAGCCAGUUGGCCACAUCCUUUGGGCCAAAUUUGGUCCUAACCAGGUCUUACCACGGUAACUGCUAACCAGUCCAUCUUCAGUUAAUAUUUCAUGCGUAAGAUGUUUCAUGAAGUAACUGAAUGGGCUAAUGGGUUGUUCACUGGAUAAGACUCCCAGAUACUCCCUUUCAUGCCAUUCCCCAGAAUUCCUUCACCUCCCAGUGCUGUCUGUAAGGGUGAAGAUACUCCAUUUUGCCCCAUGCUCUUUGCUGUGCCCCAGAUAGGCUCAAACAUUUUUCCCUUUUGGGGAUUUUGCAGGUAGGAAUUGUUGAACAUCUUACCAUUUAAUCCAGAAGUUAUGUCCUUUAAGGAAUCGACCCUGAGCCUGUGAGUUUUACUUUGGGUUGGGGGUGAAGGAGUGGACCUUGCAGCAUUCAAGGUCAUCCAAGAUCAUCCAGUUAAGGCCCCUAAGGUCACUACGGGGGGAAAAGCCUGGUGAGGGAAGAGAAAGCAUUAGGGGGAGCUGCACCGUGCUGAGAAAUAACACCACACAGAAGUCUGUGUUCUAAUCUCAGCUCUGCUUUGCAUUACUGUGUGACCUGGAGCUGAUCACAGCCCUCUGAGUCUUAAAGGGGUUGGACAAGGCCAACUAAACAUUAGAAACACCUGAAAGUGCUGGUUAAAAGGAAGAAUGCAUGAGCUUCACUCCAGAUUUACUAUAUCAGAAUUUCCAGGGUCAGGGUCCAAGAAUCUGCAUGUUUAAUACGCUUUCCACAUGAUUUUUCCCCCCUCUGGACUUAAGAAAACAAUGGGCAAGUCAGCUCAUGAAGAACUUUUCAGAUAUUCAGACUAUUAUUCUGAGAGAGAAAAUAUUGGCAGAGAACAGAUGGGAUUUUUCUCAAGGAAAAGAAAUGGAAAUCCUACAUCUUGCAAGAAAUAGAAAAAAAUAAAUAAACUGUUUGAAGAAGAAUCACAUCAGGCUGGCAGGAGAGAGCCUGCGGCUCGGUGUCUGACCCAGAAUGUUAAAGCCAGCCUGGCUUGGCUCCAGGAUAAAGGACACUCUGUCAGCCUCUCCACAUUGAUUCAUCUCCCCAGCCCCAAGAUCAGGAGAGCAUUCUGUUCCUUGAAGCAUUUUAUGACUGUAAGUCAGAAGUGCUGCAGUUUUAAUAAAAAGCUGUAUUGUCCUGA